rnacentral:rRNA from 1 species
UACGUAGGGUGCGAGCGUUGUCCGGAAUUAUUGGGCGUAAAGAGCUUGUAGGCGGUUUGUCGCGUCUGCCGUGAAAAUUCGAGGCUCAACCUCGAACUUGCGGUGGGUACGGGCAGACUAGAGUGUGGUAGGGGAGACUGGAAUUCUGGUGUAGCGGUGAAAUGCGCAGAUAUCAGGAGGAACACCGAUGGCGAAGGCAGCCUCCUGGGCCAGCACUGACGCUCGAUGCACGAAAGCGUGGGGAGCAAACAGG